AUGUGCUAUAUUUCCGAAUGUGAAACCUAUGUCGCAAGUGAUACGAAAAGAAUGUCAAAUGUGCUAUUUCUGAAUAGAGAAAGGAAUGGUAUAGCAUGCAUGUAUGCACUCAGAUUUUUAUCCAAACUUUUCCAUGUCAAUAUGCAGAUCCUUGCCAAGGGUGACGCACCUGGUCCCUGCUCAACCAUCCAUUCACCCACUGCUUCGGGAGAUAGAUGGAUGGACCCUGAAAUAGACACUGUAACAGCGCCCUCAAGGAAAAGAUGGCACAACGUAGUACCGGGUGAGUGCAACACAUCACUGGAUCUGAAUCAGGGUGCUAGUGGCCAUGAGCUCACUGCGUUUCGGUUUGUUCCCCACUUGAGGUGGGAUGGUGAGGCUCCUUUCGGGUCCAAGUCGGCAAUGGGUCGAUCGGUCGACUGUGUGCGAGGUGCAAGCGCGUCAUUGGCGCCUCGGUGGAUCCAUUGGCCUGGUGAUUCAGCUUGGAUGAGGGGCAAUGCAGCAGUGGGUUCAGUCAGCAAAUGGUUUCUGUUUGUGGGUGAAACUGUGUGA
rnacentral:rRNA from 1 species